rnacentral:rRNA from 1 species
CCUACGGGUGGCUGCAGUAAGGGAUAUUGGACAAUGGGGGAAACCCUGAACCAGCAACGCCGCGUGAGGGAAGACGGUUUUCGGAUUGUAAACCUCUGUCAUCUGUGAAGAUGAUGCUGGUAGCAGUGACCGAAGCUACGGCCAACUACGUGCCAGGAGCCGCGGUAAUACGUAGGGAGCGAGCGCUGUCCGGAUGUACUGGGUGUAAAGGGUGCGUAGGCGGCUUGGCAAGUAAGUAGUGAAAUCCAUGGGCUGAGCCCAUGAACUGCUAUUGACACUGUCGAGCUUGAGUUAAGUAGAGGGAGGCGGAAUUCCCGGUGUAGCGGUGAAAUGCGUAGAGAUCGGGAGGAACACCAGUGGCGAAGGCGGCCUACUGGGCUUUGACUGACGCUGAGGUGCGAAAGCGUGGGUAGCAAACAGGAUUAGAUACCCUAGUAGUC